rnacentral:rRNA from 1 species
CGAGCGGGGGAGGUAGCUUGCUACUGGACCUAGCGGCGGACGGGUGAGUAAUGCUUAGGAAUCUGCCUAUUAGUGGGGGACAACAUUCCGAAAGGAAUGCUAAUACCGCAUACGUCCUACGGGAGAAAGCAGGGGACCUUCGGGCCUUGCGCUAAUAGAUGAGCCUAAGUCGGAUUAGCUAGUUGGUGGGGUAAAGGCCUACCAAGGCGACGAUCUGUAGCGGGUCUGAGAGGAUGAUCCGCCACACUGGGACUGAGACACGGCCCAGACUCCUACGGGAGGCAGCAGUGGGGAAUAUUGGACAAUGGGGGGAACCCUGAUCCAGCCAUGCCGCGUGUGUGAAGAAGGCCUUAUGGUUGUAAAGCACUUUAAGCGAGGAGGAGGCUACUAGUAUUAAUACUACUGGAUAGUGGACGUUACUCGCAGAAUAAGCACCGGCUAACUCUGUGCCAGCAGCCGCGGUAAUACAGAGGGUGCGAGCGUUAAUCGGAUUUACUGGGCGUAAAGCGUGCGUAGGCGGCCAUUUAAGUCAAAUGUGAAAUCCCCGAGCUUAACUUGGGAAUUGCAUUCGAUACUGGAUGGCUAGAGUAUGGGAGAGGAUGGUAGAAUUCCAGGUGUAGCGGUGAAAUGCGUAGAGAUCUGGAGGAAUACCGAUGGCGAAGGCAGCCAUCUGGCCUAAUACUGACGCUGAGGUACGAAAGCAUGGGGAGCAAACAGGAUUAGAUACCCUGGUAGUCCAUGCCGUAAACGAUGUCUACUAGCCGUUGGGGCC